UACGGAGGGGGCUAGCGUUGUUCGGAAUUACUGGGCGUAAAGCGCGCGUAGGCGGACCUGCAAGUCGGGGGUGAAAGCCCGAGGCUCAACCUCGGAACUGCCUUCGAUACUGCGGGUCUCGAGUCCGGGAGAGGUGAGUGGAAUUCCUAGUGUAGAGGUGAAAUUCGUAGAUAAUUCGCAAGAACACCAGUGGCGAAGGCGGCUGUCUGGUCCGGUUCUGACGCUGAGGCGCGAAAGCGUGGGGAGCAAACAGG
rnacentral:rRNA from 1 species